rnacentral:rRNA from 1 species
GGGAGGUAGUGACAAUAAAUAACAAUACGGGGCUCUUUUGGGUCUCGUAAUUGGAAUGAGUACAAUUUAAAUCUCUUAACGAGGAACAAUUGGAGGGCAAGUCUGGUGCCAGCAGCCGCGGUAAUUCCAGCUCCAAUAGCGUAUAUUAAAGUUGUUGCAGUUAAAAAGCUCGUAGUUGAAUUUCGGGGUCAGUAGGUUGGUCGUGCCUAUGGUAUGUACUGGCUUUACUGAUUCCUCCUUCUUGAAGAACUGUAAUGUCAUUAAUUUGGUGUUGCAGGGAAACAGGACUGUUACUUUGAAAAAAAUUAGAGUGUUUAAAGCAGGCUAACGCUUGAAUACAUUAGCAUGGAAUAAUGAAAUAGGACGUUUGAUCCUAUUUUGUUGGUUUCUAGGAUUGACGUAAUGAUUAAUAGGGAUAGUUGGG